rnacentral:rRNA from 1 species
GAUGAACGCUGGCGGCGUGCCUAAUACAUGCAAGUCGAGCGAACGGACGAGAAGCUUGCUUUUCUGAUGUUAGCGGCGGACGGGUGAGUAACACGUGGAUAACCUACCUAUAAGACUGGGAUAACUUCGGGAAACCGGAGCUAAUACCGGAUAAUAUUUUGAACCGCAUGGUUCAAAAGUGAAAGACGGUCUUGCUGUCACUUAUAGAUGGAUCCGCGCUGCAUUAGCUAGUUGGUAAGGUAACGGCUUACCAAGGCAACGAUGCAUAGCCGACCUGAGAGGGUGAUCGGCCACACUGGAACUUAGACACGGUCCGGACUCCUACGGGAGGCAGCAGUAGGGAAUCUUCCGCAAUGGGCGAAAGCCUGACGGAGCAACGCCGCGUGAGUGAUGAAGGUCUUCGGAUCGUAAAACUCUGUUAUUAGGGAAGAACAUAUGUGUAAGUAACUGUGCACAUCUUGACGGUACCUAAUCAGAAAGCCACGGCUAACUACGUG